GUGCUCGCUUCUGCAGGACAUACUCUAAAUCUGGAACGAUACAGAGAAGAUUAGUAGGGCUCUGCACAAGGAUGACACACAGAUUCAUGAAACAUUCCGUGUAUUU
ensembl:snRNA U6 U6 spliceosomal RNA